UACAGAGGGUGCGAGCGUUGUCCGGAAUCACUGGGCGUAAAGGGCGCGUAGGCGGCCUGAUAAGUAGGGGGUGAAAUCUUGCGGCUCAACCGCAAGGCUGCCUUCGAAACUGUCAGGCUGGAGCACGGUAGAGGCAGAUGGAAUUCCCGGUGUAGCGGUGGAAUGCGUAGAGAUCCGGAAGAACACCGGUGGCGAAGGCGGCCUGCUGGGCAGUGGCUGACGCUGAGGCGCAACAGCGUGGGGAGCAAACAGG
rnacentral:rRNA from 1 species